CAGAAAUAGAAAUAUCUACAAGAAUGGCUUCUAAAGCAUUGACAUUAUUUUUCUUCAUUAUUUGUCUCAUUCAAUAUUGUGGUUUGUUUGAGGCUGAGGCAAGAAAUGUGGUACAUGUGUAUUGCUCCUCCAAUGAAGACUGUCAAAAUAUUUGUCCUUUUCCAGUCGCGAAUGACUUUUGCGACACAAGAACUCGCCUAUGUGUUUGUCAUCUAAAUGCUAGGCUAAAAAAAUCAAAUGGUGAAUAAACCAUUUUCUUAGAUGAAAUAGGAGCCUAUAUCUUCUUAUAAUUUUAAUAAGAGCGUGGUUACACUUU